UUAAGUUAUUAAGGGCGCACGGUGGAUGCCUUGGCACUAGAAGCCGAUGAAGGACGUUACUAACGACGAUAUGCUUUGGGGAGCUGUAAGUAAGCUUUGAUCCAGAGAUUUCCGAAUGGGGAAACCCAGCAUGAGUUAUGUCAUGUUAUCGAUAUGUGAAUACAUAGCAUAUCAGAAGGCACACCCGGAGAACUGAAACAUCUUAGUACCCGGAGGAAGAGAAAGAAAAUUCGAUUCCCUUAGUAGCGGCGAGCGAAACGGGAAGAGCCCAAACCAACAAGCUUGCUUGUUGGGGUUGUAGGACACUCUAUACGGAGUUACAAAGGACGACAUUAGACGAAUCAUCUGGAAAGAUGAAUCAAAGAAGGUAAUAAUCCUGUAGUCGAAAAUGUUGUCUCUCUUGAGUGGAUCCUGAGUACGACGGAGCACGUGAAAUUCCGUCGGAAUCUGGGAGGACCAUCUCCUAAGGCUAAAUACUCUCUAGUGACCGAUAGUGAACCAGUACCGUGAGGGAAAGGUGAAAAGCACCCCGGAAGGGGAGUGAAAUAGAACCUGAAACCGUGUGCUUACAAGUAGUCAGAGCCCGUUAAUGGGUGAUGGCGUGCCUUUUGUAGAAUGAACCGGCGAGUUACGAUUUGAUGCAAGGUUAAGCAGUAAAUGUGGAGCCGUAGCGAAAGCGAGUCUGAAUAGGGCGUUUAGUAUUUGGUCGUAGACCCGAAACCAGGUGAUCUACCCUUGGUCAGGUUGAAGUUCAGGUAACACUGAAUGGAGGACCGAACCGACUUACGUUGAAAAGUGAGCGGAUGAACUGAGGGUAGCGGAGAAAUUCCAAUCGAACCUGGAGAUAGCUGGUUCUCUCCGAAAUAGCUUUAGGGCUAGCCUCAAGUGAUGAUUAUUGGAGGUAGAGCACUGUUUGGACGAGGGGCCCCUCUCGGGUUACCGAAUUCAGACAAACUCCGAAUGCCAAUUAAUUUAACUUGGGAGUCAGAACAUGGGUGAUAAGGUCCGUGUUCGAAAGGGAAACAGCCCAGACCACCAGCUAAGGUCCCAAAAUAUAUGUUAAGUGGAAAAGGAUGUGGCGUUGCCCAGACAACUAGGAUGUUGGCUUAGAAGCAGCCAUCAUUUAAAGAGUGCGUAAUAGCUCACUAGUCGAGUGACACUGCGCCGAAAAUGUACCGGGGCUAAACAUAUUACCGAAGCUGUGGAUUGUCCUUUGGACAAUGGUAGGAGAGCGUUCUAAGGGCGUUGAAGCAUGAUCGUAAGGACAUGUGGAGCGCUUAGAAGUGAGAAUGCCGGUGUGAGUAGCGAAAGACGGGUGAGAAUCCCGUCCACCGAUUGACUAAGGUUUCCAGAGGAAGGCUCGUCCGCUCUGGGUUAGUCGGGUCCUAAGCUGAGGCCGACAGGCGUAGGCGAUGGAUAACAGGUUGAUAUUCCUGUACCACCUAUAAUCGUUUUAAUCGAUGGGGGGACGCAGUAGGAUAGGCGAAGCGUGCGAUUGGAUUGCACGUCUAAGCAGUAAGGCUGAUAUUAGGCAAAUCCGGUACUCGUUAAGGCUGAGCUGUGAUGGGGAGAAGACAUUGGUGUCUUCGAGUCGUUGAUUUCCACACUGCCGAGAAAAGCCUCUAGAUAGAAAAUAGGUGCCCGUACCGCAAACCGACACAGGUAGUCAAGAUGAGAAUUCUAAGGUGAGCGAGCCGAACUCUCGUUAAGGAACUCGGCAAAAUGACCCCGUAACUUCGGGAGAAGGGGUGCUCUUUAGGGUUAACGCCCAGAAGAGCCGCAGUGAAUAGGCCCAAGCGACUGUUUAUCAAAAACACAGGUCUCUGCUAAACCGUAAGGUGAUGUAUAGGGGCUGACGCCUGCCCGUGCUGGAAGGUUAAGAGGAGUGGUUAGCUUCUGCGAAGCUACGAAUCGAAGCCCCAGUAAACGGCGGCCGUAACUAUAACGGUCCUAAGGUAGCGAAAUUCCUUGUCGGGUAAGUUCCGACCCGCACGAAAGGCGUAACGAUUUGGGCACUGUCUCAACGAGAGACUCGGUGAAAUCAUAGUACCUGUGAAGAUGCAGGUUACCCGCGACAGGACGGAAAGACCCCGUGGAGCUUUACUGUAGCCUGAUAUUGAAAUUCGGCACAGCUUGUACAGGAUAGGUAGGAGCCUUUGAAACGUGAGCGCUAGCUUACGUGGAGGCGCUGGUGGGAUACUACCCUAGCUGUGUUGGCUUUCUAACCCGCACCACUUAUCGUGGUGGGAGACAGUGUCAGGCGGGCAGUUUGACUGGGGCGGUCGCCUCCUAAAAGGUAACGGAGGCGCUCAAAGGUUCCCUCAGAAUGGUUGGAAAUCAUUCAUAGAGUGUAAAGGCAUAAGGGAGCUUGACUGCGAGACCUACAAGUCGAGCAGGGUCGAAAGACGGACUUAGUGAUCCGGUGGUUCCGCAUGGAAGGGCCAUCGCUCAACGGAUAAAAGCUACCCCGGGGAUAACAGGCUUAUCUCCCCCAAGAGUUCACAUCGACGGGGAGGUUUGGCACCUCGAUGUCGCUCAUCGCAUCCUGGGGCUGUAGUCGGUCCCAAGGGUUGGGCUGUUCGCCCAUUAAAGCGGUACGCGAGCUGGGUUCAGAACGUCGUGAGACAGUUCGGUCCCUAUCCGUCGUGGGCGUAGGAAAUUUGAGAGGAGCUGUCCUUAGUACGAGAGGACCGGGAUGGACAUACCUCUGGUGUACCAGUUGUCGUGCCAACGGCAUAGCUGGGUAGCUAUGGUGGACGGGAUAAGUGCUGAAGCAUCUAAGCAUGAAGCCCCCCUCAAGAUGAGAUUUCCCAACUUCGGUUAUAAGAUCCCUCAAAGAUGAUGAGGUUAAUAGGUUCGAGGUGGAAGCAUGGUGACAUGUGGAGCUGACGAAUACUAAUCGAUCGAAGACUUAAUCAA
rnacentral:rRNA from 1 species